UACGUAGGGUGCAAGCGUUGUCCGGAAUUAUUGGGCGUAAAGAGCUCGUAGGCGGUCUGUCGCGUCGGCUGUGAAAUCCCGGAGCUCAACUCCGGGUCUGCAGUCGAUACGGGCAAACUGGAGUACUGCAGGGGAGACUGGAAAUUCCCGGUGUAGCAGUGAAAUGCGCAGAUAUCAAGGAGGAACACCGGUGGCGAAGGCGGUUCUCUGGGCCAAGUACUGACGUGGAGGAGCGAAAGCGUGGGGAGCGAACAGG
rnacentral:rRNA from 1 species